CUGGAGAUCAAUCAAACUUCAUUUAGAUGGACGUGUCUUAAAAAUUAAUACAGUAGAUAAAAUGAAAUUUGUGGGGUUGGGGGAGUAAAAGAUUGGAAAGAGAAACGUAUUUUCUGUUUAUUAAACAUUUUAAAUUUAGGUAAUAUAACAUCUUCCUCGGUUCAUCUUUGUCUAAGCAUAUCAUUGAGGUAAAGAAAUUCAAAAGCAAUCAAUAUAAACUCAAUAACCCUUUCAGUUAUGUUUUUUUUUCAUACACCGAUUUGAAAGUACACAAUUUGUCAAAGUCUUAAUCGUC
rnacentral:lncRNA from 1 species